rnacentral:rRNA from 1 species
UUCGGAGGGUGCAAGUGUUAAUCGGAAUUACUGGGCGUAAAGCGCACGCAGGCGGUUUGUUAAGUCAGAUGUGAAAUCCCCGAGCUUAACUUGGGAACUGCAUUUGAAACUGGCAAGCUAGAGUCUUGUAGAGGGGGGUAGAAUUCCAGGUGUAGCGGUGAAAUGCGUAGAGAUCUGGAGGAAUACCGGUGGCGAAGGCGGGUCUCUGGGCCGAUACUGACGCUGAGACGCGAAAGCGUGGGGAGCAAACAGG